AUGGAGACCGGCAUUAUCAAUCCGUUUGUAUCAUCGAUAUAAUCGUUGAAUAUACAACAUCAUCAGAACAGCCAACGACAUGUUCGCAAAAUAUCCAGUUUUGUUGUUGGUGGUGCAAGUUUUGCUACUAGGUUUUGCUCAAUGCGAAUUGAAAGAAAACGGAUUAUGUAAUUUCAAUGGCAAGACAUAUGGACAUUUGCAAUGCAGAAAAUCAUGUCGUGGAGUCAGGGAUUCGCGCGCGGGUACAUGUGAUGAAGGACUAAGAUGCUGCAAUACAGUCGGGAAAAUACUUAGCCAAACGGACGCGGACGAAUACGGAUAUUGUGUGUUUGAUGAAGCAGUCGAUGAACUUUUUGAAUGCAAAAAGUCAUGUGGUGAACUUUCACAUAUUCCCGAAGGUAGAUGUGGUGUAGCCCUCAAAUGCUGCUAUAGAGUCCACCCGUCUUUUGGGAUAGAAGUGACGAUCGCUCCAGAUGUUUUAAUGCAAAGAGCAACCACUAAGACACCAAUUGUUAUACCAUAUAGAAUUUGAAGUGAAUAGAGAAAUUUAAAUUAGUUCUGAAUUAAUUUAUAAUUGUUGUACAG